rnacentral:misc_RNA from 1 species
GAUGAAGAACGCAGCGAAAUGCGAUAAGUAAUGAGAAUUGCAGAAUUCAGUGAAUCAUCGAAUCUUUGAACGCACAUUGCGCCCGCCAGUAUUCUGGCGGGCAUGCCUGUUCGAGCGUCAUUUCAACCCUCAAGCCCAGCUUGGUGUUGGGGAUCGGCACAGGCGCCCUCGGGCGCCAGCCGUCCCCUAAAUCUAGUGGCGGUCCCGCUGCAGCCUCCUCUGCGUAGUAGUUUUCUCCUCGCAAGGGCAGCUCGGUGGCGACCUCGCCGUAAAACCCCCAACUUCUGAAAGGUUGACCUCGAAUCAGGUAGGAAUACCCGCUGAACUUAAGCAUAUCAAUAAGCGGAGGA